rnacentral:rRNA from 1 species
GACGAACGCUGGCGGCGUGCUUAACACAUGCAAGUCGAGCGGUAAGGCCCUUUCGGGGGUACACGAGCGGCGAACGGGUGAGUAACACGUGGGUGACCUGCCCUCAGCUCUGGGAUAAGCCCUGGGAAACCGGGUCUAAUACUGGAUAUGACUCCAUGACGCAUGUUGUGGGGUGGAAAGCCUUGUGCGGCUGAGGAUGGGCCCGCGGCCUAUCAGCUUGUUGGUGGGGUGANGGCCUACCAAGGCGACGACGGGUAGCCGGCCUGAGAGGGCGACCGGCCACACUGGGACUGAGACACGGCCC